rnacentral:pre_miRNA from 1 species
CAACUACUCCCUCCGUCCCAAAAUUCUUGUCUUAGAUUUGUCCAAAUACGGAUGUAUCAAGUCACAUUUUAGUAUUAAGUACAUCCGUAUCUAGACAAAUCUAAGACAAGAAUUUUGGGACGGAGGGAGUACUAC